rnacentral:rRNA from 1 species
UACAGAGGUCCCAAGCGUUGUUCGGAUUCACUGGGCGUAAAGGGUGCGCAGGUGGUCGGGUAAGUCUGAUGUGAAAUCCCGCAGCUUAACUGCGGAAUGGCAUUGGAUACUAUUUGGCUAGAGGGUUGGAGGGGGGACUGGAAUUCUCGGUGUAGCAGUGAAAUGCGUAGAUAUCGAGAGGAACACCAGUGGCGAAGGCGAGUCCCUGGACAACUCCUGACGCUGAGGCACGAAAGCUAAGGGAGCAAACAGG